ensembl:lncRNA
GUGACGGGAGCCGCCGGGCGCUGAGGCCGCGGGAGGGUUGGGGGCUGCGGCCUGAGUGGGAGAGGGGAACAGGUCAGCGCCGACCCUGAGCCUCGGCAAACACCCAUGGUUCCAGACGUCCGAAGACACAGAAAUGCUCAAGAUACGCACAGAGGAGCCAGGCGUGGUGGAGCACACCUAUAACCCCACUACUUGGGAGGCUGGGCCUGAAGGAUCAUGUGUUUGAGGCCAUUUCGAGCUACAUACCGAGUUCAAGUUACAGGCCCAACAAUAUCUGUACCAGGCUGGGAGGCCUGACCACUGCAGGUAUGCCCCUGAGCCUCACCUUGGCCCAAGAUUUCCCUGGAUAUAGCCACUUGACUGCAGUAGUCUCGGACACCUAGGACUCUGAACACCCCUGAUGAAUUUCCCUACAGCUCCCGCCUGUCCUCUAAAGAACUCUAGAUGACAAACUUCUUCCACCAUAUUUCUGGGAACUCUGCUUCUCCCAGGUGAAGACACAGUAGGCAGCCAUCUACAAGCCAAGAACCUUUAGCAGGAGCCGAAUUGGACAGCAUCUUGAUUUUGGACUCCAGUUUACAGAACUGUGAGAAAUAAAUUUCUGCUGUUACAGCCACCCAGUCAGUAAUAUUUUGUUAUGGAAGUCCAAGAUGAUUAUGACAAGAAAUAAAGGGAUCGAACUCCGAACCUUGUGCUUGUGAGGCAGGCAGCAGAACCACCGAGCUAAAUCCCCGGCCCUAUUCUCUGUAUCUUCUGCAGCAUUUAAUAUGGUCAGGCUUUUUAAUUUUUUUUUCAGACGACUUUUUCAUUUUAACCAGGGUCCUCAGUUAUUAGAAGCAGCAGUGCCUGAGGCAGAGCAAGGACAAGCAUUUCUAGCGGGCCCCCA